rnacentral:siRNA from 1 species
UAUACUUGUGGCUAUAGUGACUA